rnacentral:tmRNA from 1 species
GGGGCUGAUUAUAGCUUAGACGGAAUAUUAACAGUCAUAAGGCGCGUCGAUUAAAUACCGUAAGUAUUAAUAAGUGCUAAAAACACAAAAACUGCGCAUGUCAUGUACAUGCCAGCUUAUGCCUAAUUAUUAUUUCUAGGCUGGUCUUGGUGUAAGUUUCCGUAGCAUCAGGAUUAUCAUAGAACGGAAAUAAGGUUGCUUAAUUGGCGAGAAUCAACACGAAAAUUUAGCCAUGGCAUUCGUUAGUUUUGUUUCUUGCAGCUAACGAUCUCCGCUAAGACAAAACAAGAGACUAUACGCGUAGAAUUGUGACCCAGUGAUAAUUCGGACCCGGAGGCAGUAUCCGGCAGCUCCACCA